CAGGCCAAUUAUUCCAAAGACUUUUUAAGCAGGCACUGGGAAGAGGCUUCGAAGUUUGGGCCUUGUUUUAAAAAGCACAUGGGAUUUAAUGUGGCUUUGUUCGGCUGUGUCUGAAUUUGGCCCAGAUGAGAUGAGAUGCAGAUGAUUUAAGUAAUGCUGACUGCAUGUUGACAGCUGCUGAUUUGAAUAAAUGCUCAAACAUUGACUGUUGGUUAUAUCUGCUAUCUGCCAUCUGCCAAAGAAGAUUUAAGUCAGUUGCUGUUUCUCCUGUAUUGUUUUGUUUGGUUCCCUAGCUGGCCGGUCUCAGAGGUGUGUGCUGCAUGGUGGCAGCACGUGUAUUGUGUGGAUUGUUUGUGUACGAGUCCGGUUGGCUGGGGUUUUUGUUUUUUUGUAUUUCUUUUUCCUGUUUUUUUAUACCUUUAUACCAGCCUUAUGUCGCCAGCUUGAUUUAUUAGUGCUUGCUUUCCGCACGUGUGUGGGCCUUUUCUUGUGUGAGGUCUAUGUUUGCUAUGUUUUUCUUGAGGUGGUUAUGAGUGAAGGUUUUGAUUUGUUAGUUUUAUUUAAAUUUGUGUUUUUUUGCUUUUCAGUGUGAAUUAUCAGGGAAAUGCCACCUUGUGCUUUAAGGGCCUCCACAUGCUAGGGAACUAGCUAAUAUAGUUACUGUGAGUUGGCUGUUAACAUCUUGGAGAGCUGGGACCAAUCUUGGAGUUAUUUACAUAAAUUAUUUUAUGUCUGUUUUGUGUAUAUCCUUUGAUGCCCGAAACGUCUUCAUGACCUUGUUUCCUCACAGACCAUGUAUACCUGUAUCCUGCAUACAUGACAAUUCUCCGCACCAACAUGGACACUGCAGGAGGGCAAAAGUGUUGAAUAAUAGAAAUUUGACGGUUUCUUACGUCUUAUGUUAAUAAAUGAGUUCAGCCUACUGAUGGACAUGAGAGGAAUCAACCUUGCAUACCUUAAUGUAUUGCUCAAGAACAAGCAGACUGGAAAAUUUUGAGGUUUAAAACUUGGCAAGCUUUUGAACUAUCUACACCAAACUCGGCCAGCUCCUUUAGGGUGAUACUCUGAACAAAGUUUUAAAUUGGUGUACCGACCGGCCUUUUGGGUUGUGCCGCAGCCCCGCCCCCAAAUUAUGCAAAAUCAAAAAACUUUUUACAACAUGGACAUGUGACAUAUCAAAGCACUCAGCCUAAUGUGGGAAACUUCCUCAAGAGUAUUCGGAUGACGUCACAUCACAUGCUCGUCUCCAAAAAGGUUGCUUCCAAAAGUAACACCUACCCUUAUGUCCACUCAUCUCCAAAAAGCACCGGCCUUUGCGAAUACUUGGACGUCAAAGCCAACAUCAAAGUUUGUCACGAUGAACUUUACAAAUCUAAAUAAACAUGUUCUUACAGAAAAGUUCAAAAUAUCUUUUACGAGGAACAUACACAGACAGGUUCCUACGAAUGAGCGGUUACAAUAGAAACGCUCAUUCGUUUUCCAGAAUUCAAAACCGCACAUUAACAUUUAAGUUGCAUAUCGAAACAAAACCAACAGUAUUCAUGCUACACCAGCUCAUCUCACUGAUCGUGGAUCAGUCUUGGUUGCAAAGUAUGACAGAAGGUGAAAAGAUCAAAUGUCACUUUAUUUUGACCCUGAGUCUGGGUUUCUCAGUGACUGGGGUCGGAGAUGCUACAAGUGAACCUGCAAAGAAUUACACACAUACUUUUUAGGGAGGUUGUUGUCUCUGUGUCUCUCUCUGUCACAUACUACAUUUGUGUUUGUCUCAUUCUCUCUCUCUCUCUCUCUGCUCAACCUCUGUCACACACUACAUCUGU